UUGACCUCAGAUCAGGUAGGAAGACCGCCUGAACUUAAGCAUAUCAAUAAGCGGAGGA
rnacentral:rRNA from 1 species